UGGCUCAGGAUGAACGCUAGCGGCAGGCUUACACAUGCAAGUCGAGGGGUAACGAUGGUGCUUGCACCAGGCGACGACCGGCGGACGGGUGAGUAACACGUAUGCAAUUUGCCUUUAACUGGAGGAUAGCUUCGGGAAACCGUAAUUAAUACUCCAUAGUAUUCAAAAGACGCAUGUUUUUUGAAUUAAAGCUCCGGCGGUUAAAGAUAAGCAUGCGGGACAUUAGCUAGUUGGUAAGGUAACGGCUUACCAAGGCGACGAUGUCUAGGGGGUUUGAGAGGAUGAUCCCCCACACUGGUACUGAGACACGGACCAGACUCCUACGGGAGGCAGCAGUGAGGAAUAUUGGGCAAUGGGCGCAAGCCUGACCCAGCCAUGCCGCGUGCAGGAUGAAGGUCCUAUGGAUCGUAAACUGCUUUUGUAUGGGAAGAACUUCCCGCAUUCGUGCGGGAUUGACGGUACUAUACGAAUAAGGACCGGCUAACUCCGUGCCAGCAGCCGCGGUAAUACGGAGGGUCCAAGCGUUAUCCGGAUUCACUGGGUUUACAGGGUGCGUAGGUGGAACGAUAAGUCGAUGGUGAAAGCCUACAGCUUAACUGUAGAAUUGCCAUUGAUACUGUUGUCCUUGAGUAUAGUCGGGGGAAGUGGAAUGCGUAAUGUAGCGGUGAAAUGCAUAGAUAUCACGCAGAACACCGAUCGCGAAAGCAGCUUCCUAGGCUAUCACUGACACUGAGGCACGAAAGCGUGGGGAGCGAACAGGAUUAG
rnacentral:rRNA from 1 species